UUUGACAUCCCCAGAUUGCGGAAAUUCCAUUAGGAGUUGGGAACUUGAUGCCCAGAUGGUAGGUCGAUGGCACUGCUUUCAUGGUGUUUAUCCAAGGCGUUCCCAUGAUCACGUUGUAAAUGGCCUGAUUGUCGACUACUGCAAAGUCGAUGAUUUCUGUGAUUUCUUUCACCAUGACCGGGAGCUUGAUCAAUCCGAGAGUCAUUGAUGUUAUGCUAGAAAAACUGGUUAAGAGUUUCAGAAUUGGCAUGACUUCUCCAAGAUUGAUGUUCAUCCUGAUGUGCCCUUGGGUAGCGCACCGGGC
rnacentral:lncRNA from 1 species